rnacentral:rRNA from 1 species
GACCGAUAGCGAACCAGUACUGUGAAGGAAAGGCGAAAAGAACCCCGGGAGGGGAGUGAAAUAGAUCCUGAAACCGCAUACAUACAAACAGUAGGAGCCCGCAAGGGUGACUGCGUACCUUUUGCAUAAUGGGUCAGCGACUUACGUUCAAUGGCAAGCUUAACCGAGUAGGGGAGGCGCAGCGAAAGCGAGUCCGAACAGGGCGAUAUGAGUCGUUGGGCGUAGACCCGAAACCAGAUGAUCUAUCCAUGGCCAGGCUGAAGGUGUGGUAACACACACUGGAGGGCCGAACCGACUAGUGUUGCAAAAUUAGCGGAUGAGCUGUGGAUAGGGGUGAAAGGCUAAACAAAUCUGGAGAUAGCUGGUUCUCCCCGAAAACUAUUGAGGUAGUGCCUCGUGUAUGGCUCCAGGGGGUAGAGCACUGUUAUGGCUAGGGGGACAUGGCGUCUUACCAAACCAUGGCAAACUCCGAAUACUUGGAAGUCUGAGCACGGGAGACAGAGCACCGGGUGCUAACGUCCGGACUCAAAAGGGAAACAACCCAGACCGCCGGCUAAGGUCCCUAAUAUUGACUAAGUGGAAAACGAAGUGGGAAGGCUAAGACAGUCAGGAAGUUGGCUUAGAAGCAGCCAUCCUUCAAAGAAAGCGUAAUAGCUCACUGAUCGAGUCUUCCUGCGCGGAAGAUGUAACGGGGCUAAGUCAAUAACCGAAGCCGCGGAUUCGCAGCAAUGCGAGUGGUAGGGGAGCGUUCUGUAAGCCUGCGAAGGCGGAUCUGCGAGGACCGCUGGAGGUAUCAGAAGUGCGAAUGCUGACAUGAGUAACGUUAAAGCGGGUGAAAAGCCCGCUCGCCGCAAGCCCAAGGUUUCCUGCUCUACGUUCAUCGGAGCAGGGUGAGUCGGCCCCUAAGGUCAGGCUGAGAAGCGUAGCUGAUGGGAAGCUGGUUAAUAUUCCAGCACCGAUUUCAAGUGCGAAGGGGGGACGGAGUCCUGAAGGUCAUCCGGGUGUUGGACAUCCCGGUUUACGAGCGUAGGAGGUUGACAGGCAAAUCCGUCAACGGAUCUCCAAGGCGAAGGAUCGAGGUUGAGAGAUCAACUGAAGUGACUGAAUGGGCUUCCAGGAAAAGCCUCUAAGCAUCAGCUUGGAAUUGACCGUACCGCAAACCGACACUGGUGGGCGAGCUGAAUAUGCUCAGGCGCUUGAGAGAACUCAGGAGAAGGAACUCGGCAAAUUGACACCGUAACUUCGGGAUAAGGUGUGCCUUUGUAGUGUGAAGGGAGAAACACCCCGAGCAUGAAGAGGCCUCAGAGAAUCGGUGGCUGCAACUGUUUACUAAAAACACAGCACUCUGCAAAGAUGAAAGUCGACGUAUAGGGUGUGAUGCCUGCCCGGUGCUGGAAGAUUAAUUGAUGGGGUGCAAGCUCCUGAUCGAAGUCCCAGUAAACGGCGGCCGUAACUAUAACGGUCCUAAGGUAGCGAAAUUCCUUGUCGGGCAAGUUCCGACCUGCACGAAUGGCAUAAUGAUGGCCACACUGUCUCCUCCUGAGACUCAGUGAAGUUGAAAUGUUUGUGAUGAUGCAAUCUCCCCGCGGCUAGACGGAAAGACCCCAUGAACCUUUACUGCAGCUUUGCAUUGGACUUUGAACCGAUCUGUGUAGGAUAGGUGGGAGGCAGUGAAGCUAGGACGCCAGUCUUAGCGGAGCCAACCUUGAAAUACCACCCUGAUUUGUUUGAGGUUCUAACCUAGGAGCGUAAUCCGCUUCGGGGACCGUGCAUGGUAGGCAGUUUGACUGGGGCGGUCUCCUCCUAAAGGGUAACGGAGGAGUGCGAAGGUACGCUAGGUACGGUCGGAAAUCGUGCUGAUAGUGCAAUGGCAAAAGCGUGCUUGACUGCGAGACCGACAAGUCGAGCAGAUACGAAAGUAGGUCAUAGUGAUCCGGUGGCUCUGCAUGGAAGGGCCAUCGCUCAACGGAUAAAAGGUACUCUGGGGAUAACAGGCUGAUACCGCCCAAGAGUUCAUAUCGA